GUCUCUGUGGCGCAAUUGGUUAGCGCGUUCGGCUGUUAACCGAAAGGUUGGUGGUUCAAGUCCACCCAGUGACG